rnacentral:rRNA from 1 species
CCUCCUGGAAACGGGUGGUAAUGCCGGAUGCUCCGCCCCCUCGCAUGGGGGGUCGGGAAGGCUUUUGCGGAAUGGGAUGGGGUCGCGUCCUAUCAGCUUGUUGGCGGGGCGACGGCCCACCAAGGCUUCGACGGGUAGCCGGCCUGAGAGGGCGACCGGCCACAUUGGGACUGAGAUACGGCCCAGACUCCUACGGGAGGCAGCAGUGGGGAAUAUUGCACAAUGGGGGGAACCCUGAUGCAGCGACGCCGCGUGCGGGAUGGAGGCCUUCGGGUCGUGAACCGCUUUUGAUUGGGAGCAAGCGUGAGUGAGUGUACCUUUCGAAUAAGCACCGGCUAACUACGUGCCAGCAGCCGCGGUAAUACGUAGGGUGCAAGCGUUGUCCGGAAUCAUUGGGCGUAAAGGGCUCGUAGGCGGUUCGUCGCGUCCGGUGUGAAAGCCCAUCGCUUAACGGUGGGUCUGCGCCGGGUACGGGCGGGCUUGAGUGCGGCAGGGGAGGCUGGAAUUCCCGGUGUAACGGUGGAAUGUGUAGAUAUCGGGAAGAACACC